GUCAUGCAGAAAUAGAAGUUCACGCUUAAAUAAGUCAUGACUUUGGUGCAACUCAGUGGAUUUGGCAAUUAAUUCCGAAUGCAAAUUUGUUGUAACAACUGUGUCUUCCACAAUAGUUAGCACGUCUUGGAUAAGUGUUCUUUGCUGGUUUAUCACCUGAUGAAUAUCGUUAAUGUGUUGCUUUAGCGCAUAGAUUUCCAUAUCCAG